rnacentral:rRNA from 1 species
AUGCUGCGCUACCUAUCACUUGUUUACCAUGCCUCCCAUAUUGCCAUGUCAGCCUCUAACCUUUUCACCCUUCCUAGCAAACCGUUGAUUGGCUAUGUUACCGCUUUGAUCAGCCCUCUUAUCGCAUUGUUAGUUGCAGGUGAAGUUGAAGAUUGCUCCAUGAUGGACAGGAUUAUGUUGGGAUAUCACAAUAUCUCUUAUUUAAUUAAUGCAUCUAUAUACUUGGUAAAGGGUGGAAGACUCGGCCUUAUGCCUGGUGUUUUGUUCCACUCUUGCCGCCCUAGUUUCCGUCAUACCGGUGUUAUGUUCCCGGAUUUUGCGUUCCAUACGCGGUUGGGUGAUUUAUGGGACCCCCUUGAUAGUUCGCUUUGA